rnacentral:rRNA from 1 species
CGCAGCCGCGGUAAUUCCAGCUCCAAUAGCGUAUAUUAAAGUUGUUGCAGUUAAAAAGCUCGUAGUUGAAUUUCGGGGUCAGUAGGUUGGUCAUGCCACUGGUAUGUACUGGUCUCACUGAUUCCUCCUUCCUGAUGAACUGUAAUGCCAUUAAUUUGGUGUUGCAGGGAAUCUGGACUGUUACUUUGAAAAAAUUAGAGUGUUUAAAGCAGGCUAACGCCUGAAUACAUUAGCAUGGAAUAAUGAAAUAGGACGUUCGAUCCUAUUUUGUUGGUUUCUAGGAUUGACGUAAUGAUUAAUAGGGAUAGUUGGGGGCAUUAGUAUUCAAUUGUCAGAGGUGAAAUUCUUGGAUUUAUUGAAGACUAACUACUGCGAAAGCAUUUGCCAAGGAUGUUUUCAUUAAUCAAGAACGAAAGUUAGGGGAUCGAAGACGAUCAGAUACCGUCGUAGUCUUAACCAUAAACUAUGCCGACUAGGGAUCGGAUGAUGUUAAUUUUUAAUGACUCAUUC